GCGGAUGUGGUGGAAUUGGUAGACACACUGGAUUUAGGUUCCAGCGCCGCAAGGUGUAAGAGUUCGAGUCUCUUCAUCCGCACCA
rnacentral:tRNA from 105 species